UACGGAGGGGGCUAGCGUUGUUCGGAAUUACUGGGCGUAAAGCGCACGUAGGCGGCUUUGUAAGUUAGAGGUGAAAGCCCAGGGCUCAACCCUGGAAUUGCCUUUAAGACUGCAUCGCUAGAAUUGUGGAGAGGUAAGUGGAAUUCCGAGUGUAGAGGUGAAAUUCGUAGAUAUUCGGAAGAACACCAGUGGCGAAGGCGGCUCACUGGACUGGUAUUGACGCUGAGGUGCGAAAGCGUGGGGAGCAAACAGG
rnacentral:rRNA from 1 species